GACAGAGGGUGCAAACGUUGUUCGGAAUUACUGGGCGUAAAGCGCGCGUAGGCGGCUAAGCAAGUCGGGCGUGAAAUCCCAUGGCUCAACCAUGGAAGUGCACCCGAAACUGCAUAGCUAGAGUCCUGGAGAGGAAGGUGGAAUGCUUGGUGUAGAGGUGAAAUUCGUAGAUAUCAAGCGGAACACCGGUGGCGAAGGCGGCCUUCUGGACAGUGACUGACGCUGAGACGCGAAAGCGUGGGGAGCAAACAGG
rnacentral:rRNA from 1 species